GGAAACCAGGUGCUAAUACCGAAUAAAAUUUAGUAUCGCAUGAUAUCAAGUUAAAAGGCGCUACGGCGUCACCUAGAGAUGGAUCCGCGGUGCAUUAGUUAGUUGGUGGGGUAAAGGCUUCCCAAGACGAUGAUGCAUAGCCGAGUUGAGAGACUGAUCGGCCACAUUGGGAGUGAGACGCGGCCCAAACUCCUACGGGAGGCUGCAGUAGGGAAUCUUCCACAAUGGGCGCAAGCCUGAUGGAGCAACGCCGCGUGUGUGAAGAAGGCUUUCGGGUCGUAAAGCACUGUUGUAUGGGAAGAAAUGCUAAAAUAGGGAAUGAUUUUAGUUUGACGCUACCAUACCAGAAAGGGACGGCUAAC
rnacentral:rRNA from 1 species